rnacentral:ncRNA from 10 species
CUCGUUCAUCCUAAAAGGACGGAAGUAGGCUUUUGCCGAAGGAACGCACC